GAAACCAACAGGGAUUGCCUCAGUAACGGCGAGUGAAGCGGCAACAGCUCAAAUUUGAAAUCUGGCCUCACGGUCCGAGUUGUAAUUUGUAGAGGAUGCUUUUGGCAAGGUACUUUCCGAGUUCCCUGGAACGGGACGCCAUAGAGGGUGAGAGCCCCGUACGGUCAGACACCGAGCCUCUGUAAAGCUCCUUCGACGAGUCGAGUAGUUUGGGAAUGCUGCUCUAAAUGGGAGGUGUACGUCUUCUAAAGCUAAAUACCGGCCAGAGACCGAUAGCGCACAAGUAGAGUGAUCGAAAGAUGAAAAGCACUUUGAAAAGAGGGUUAAAAAGUACGUGAAAUUGUUGAAAGGGAAGCAUUCAUGACCAGACUUGGGCUUGGUUGAACAUCCGGCGUUCUCGCCGGUGCACUCUGCCAGUCCAGGCCAGCAUCAGUUUGACCCGGGGGACAAAGGCGGCGGGAAUGUGGCUCCCCUCGGGGAGUGUUAUAGCCCGCCGUGUAAUGCCCUGGGUUGGACUGAGGAACGCGCUUCGGCACGGAUGCUGGCGUAAUGGUCAUCAAUGACCCGUCUUGAAACACGGACCAAGGAGUCGACCAUGUAUGCGAGUGUUCGGGUGUCAAACCCCUACGCGUAAUGAAAGUGAACGUAGGUGAGAGCCUCGGCGCAUCACCGACCGAUCCUGAUGUUCUCGGAUGGAUUUGAGUAAGAGCAUACGGGGCCGGACCCGAAAGAAGGUGAACUAUGCCUGUAUAGGGUGAAGCCAGAGGAAACUCUGGUGGAGGCUCGCAGCGGUUCUGACGUGCAAAUCGAUCGUCAAAUAUGGGCAUGGGGGCGAAAGACUAAUCGAACCUUCUAGUAGCU
rnacentral:rRNA from 1 species